rnacentral:rRNA from 1 species
CCUACGGGGGGCAGCAGUAGGGAAUCUUCCACAAUGGACGAAAGUCUGAUGGAGCAACGCCGCGUGAGUGAAGAAGGGUUUCGGCUCGUAAAGCUCUGUUGGUAGUGAAGAAAGGUAGAGGUAGUAACUGGCCUUUAUUUGACGGUAAUUACUUAGAAAGUCACGGCUAACUACGUGCCAACAGCCGCGGUAAUACGUAGGUGGCAAGCGUUGUCCGGAUUUUUUGGGCGUAAAGCGAGUGCAGGCGGGUUCAUAAGUAUGAU